rnacentral:rRNA from 1 species
UACGUAGGGUGCAAGCGUUGUCCGGAAUUAUUGGGCGUAAAGAGCUCGUAGGCGGUCUGUUGCGUCGGUUGUGAAAACCCGGGGCUCAACCCCGGGCCUGCAGCCGAUACGGGCAGACUAGAGUUCGGCAGGGGAGACUGGAAUUCCUGGUGUAGCGGUGAAAUGCGCAGAUAUCAGGAGGAACACCGGUGGCGAAGGCGGGUCUCUGGGCCGAUACUGACGCUGAGGAGCGAAAGCGUGGGGAGCGAACAGG